CUUUCGUUAAGGGCGUUUUCAUCGCGCAGCGUUAAGUAUUUAAAUCGGUAGUAUACUGAUCGACGCGUCACUUGUGUUAGCAGCAUCGUAUUAAAACAACUACAUUUGUUCCCGCACGUCUUCUCGUUCUUACGACUGUCAUUUGAUAUCAACAAUUUGUCGCUAUGAAGUCCUUCAUCAUCGGAGUAUGUCUUCUCGCCUGCCUUUCUUUUGAAAUUGGCCAUUCCCUCGAGUGCUACUCUUGUGGCUCUUUUAAAUACCAAACUAUCGACCUUGGCACUUGUGGAGCCGAUACCCUUGC